UACGGGGGGGGCAAGCGUUGUUCGGAAUUACUGGGCGUAAAGGGCGCGUAGGCGGCCUUCUAAGUCGGACGUGAAAUCCCUCGGCUUAACCGAGGAACUGCGUCCGAUACUGAAAGGCUUGAAUCCGGGAGAGGGAUGUGGAAUUCCAGGUGUAGCGGUGAAAUGCGUAGAUAUCUGGAGGAACACCGGUGGCGAAGGCGGCAUCCUGGACCGGCAUUGACGCUGAGGCGCGAAAGCGUGGGGAGCAGACAGG
rnacentral:rRNA from 1 species